UUAACCGCAUAGGGGAGCCGGAGGGAAACCGAGUCUUAAUUGGGCGUUAAGUUGCAGGGUAUAGACCCGAAACCCGGUGAUCUAGCCAUGGGCAGGUUGAAGGUUGGGUAACACUAACUGGAGGACCGAACCGACUAAUGUUGAAAAAUUAGCGGAUGACCUGUGGCUGGGGGUGAAAGGCCAAUCAAACCGGGAGAUAGCUGGUUCUCCCCGAAAGCUAUUUAGGUAGCGCCUCGUGAAUUCAUCUCCGGGGGUAGAGCACUGUUUCGGCUAGGGGGCCAUCCCGGCUUACCAACCCGAUGCAAACUGCGAAUACCGGAGAAUGUUAUCACGGGAGACACACGGCGGGUGCUAACGUCCGUCGUGAAGAGGGAAACAACCCAGACCGCCAGCUAAGGUCCCAAAGUCAUGGUUAAGUGGGAAACGAUGUGGGAAGGCCCAGACAGCCAGGAUGUUGGCUUAGAAGCAGCCAUCAUUUAAAGAAAGCGUAAUAGCUCACUGGUCGAGUCGGCCUGCGCGGAAGAUGUAACGGGGCUAAACCAUGCACCGAAGCUGCGGCAGCGACGCUGAUGCGUUGUUGGGUAGGGGAGCGUUCUGUAAGCCUGUGAAGGUGGCCUGUGAGGGUUGCUGGAGGUAUCAGAAGUGCGAAUGCUGACAUAAGUAACGAUAAAGCGGGUGAAAAGCCCGCUCGCCGGAAGACCAAGGGUUCCUGUCCAACGUUAAUCGGGGCAGGGUGAGUCGACCCCUAAGGCGAGGCCGAAAGGCGUAGUCGAUGGGAAACGGGUUAAUAUUCCCGUACUUGGUGUUACUGCGAAGGGGGGACGGAGAAGGCUAUGUUGGCCGGGCGACGGUUGUCCCGGUUUAAGCGUGUAGGCUGGUUUUCCAGGCAAAUCCGGAAAAUCAAGGCUGAGGCGUGAUGACGAGGC
rnacentral:rRNA from 1 species